rnacentral:rRNA from 1 species
AUUGAACGCUGGCGGCAGGCCUAACACAUGCACGUCGAACGAGUGGCGGACGGGUGAGUAAUGUCUGGGAAACUGCCUGAUGGCGGGGGAUAACUACUGGAAACGGUAGCUAAUACCGCAUACCAUCGGAUGUGCCCAGAUGGGAUUAGCUAGUAGGUGGGGUAACGGCUCACCUAGGCGACGAUCCCUCGCUGGUCUGAGAGGAAGACCCGCAAAACUGGAACGGAGACACGGUCCAGACUCCUACGGAGGUCAGCAGUGGGGAAUAUUGCACAAUGGGCGCAAGCCUGAUGAAGACAUGCCGCGUGUAUGAAGAAGGCCUUCGGGUUGUAAAGUACUUUCAGCGGGGAGGCGUUACCCGCAGAAGAAGCACCGGCUAACUCCGUGCCAGCAGCCGCGGUAAUUC